CCUACGGGUGGCAGCAGUGAGGAAUAUUGGUCAAUGGACGAGAGCCUGAACCAGCCAAGUAGCGUGAAGGAUGACUGCCCUAUGGAUUGUAAACUUCUUUUAUAAAGGAAUAAAACGAGGCACGUGUGCCUUUAUGCAUGUUCUUUAUGAAUUAGGAACGGCUAACUCCGGGCCAGCAGCCCCGGUUAUACGGAGGAUUCGAGCGUUAUCCGGGUUUAUUGGGUUUAAAGGGAUGUGAGAUGGGUUGUUAAGUUAGUUGUGAAAGUGUGCGGGUUAACCGUAAAAGUGCAAUUGAUACUGGGAGUCUUGAGUACAGGUGAGGUAGGCGGAAUGCGUGGUGUAGCGGUGAAAUGCAUAGAUAUCACGAAGAACUCCGAUUGCGAAGGCAGCAUACUAACCUGUGACUGACAUUGAGGCACGAAAGUGUGGGUAUCAAACAGGAUUAGAUACCCGAGUAGUC
rnacentral:rRNA from 1 species